rnacentral:rRNA from 1 species
UAAUCUUGCGACCGUACUCCCCAGGCGGAAUGCUUAAUCCGUUAGUGUGACACCAACAAGUAUACUUGCUGACGUCUGGCAUUCAUCGUUUACGGUGUGGACUACCAGGGUAUCUAAUCCUGUUUGCUCCCCACACUUUCGCACCUCAGCGUCAGUAUCGAGCCAGUAAGCCGCCUUCGCCACUGGUGUACCUCCGAAUAUCUACGAAUUUCACCUCUACACUCGGAAUUCCACUUACCUCUCUCGAACUCAAGACUAGCAGUAUUAAAGGCAGUUCCAGGGUUGAGCCCUGGGAUUUCACCUCUAACUUACUAAUCCGCCUACGUGCGCUUUACGCCCAGUAAUUCCGAACAACGCUAACCCCCUCCGUAUUACCGCGGCUGCUGGCACGGAGUUAGCCGGGGUUUCUUUACCAGAUACUGUCAUUAUCAUCUCUGGCGAAAGUGCUUUACGACCCUAGGGCCUUCAUCACACACGCGGCAUGGCUAGAUCAGGGUUGCCCCCAUUGUCUAAGAUUCCCUA